AAGUUGUGGUUGAUGAUGUGUGAUCAGGAUCUACCUGUUUGAUUUGGUAUCCAGUUUUCGGGGAGGUUUGGGGUUUAAUCAAUCAGAAAAAAGGACUGAGACUGCAGGGAUAGUUUCAGUUUCAGACUGGUUUUGUGGUCUUUCACCUGAUCUAGAAGAUAAUCAACAUCGUCCUCUUUUGUAUCUUCGAUCUUACCACAACAGUGAGUGGAAAAGGUUGCGGUUCAACCAAACCACAUAGUAACAUGUUCUAACCUCUGGUGGUUUCAAGCCUUGUGUCUGUUUCUGACAACAACCUCAAGUAAGAACUGAAAAACUUGUUAGAUUUUGGACUUUAUUGUGUAUUUAAUAUCAUUUUUACAUGUUUACCUCUGUAAAGAAACUGGUGUUAUAAAAGAAAAGUAAGUUUCCUUUGAGUUUAAAGUCAAAGCGACUGAAGUGAGGAAGUUUUUUACACAACAGGACAAGUUUCUUCGAUGAGGCUGAGAUGGUGAAGUGGUGCUGUUUAUGCUGCUGUGGUGUCACAUGUUCAAAUGGAUCAGAUAUUUUCACAAAAACAAAUACUUGUAAGACAUUUUAAAUUAGAUUAAUUCUUUUUCUGUCCACCUUUUGUGACUGACGGUCUCAUGAUAGUCAUAAACUAACGGCUCUCCUGUUUAAAAUUUCCAUCCUGAACUCUGUAAACUUUCAGAUUUCCAUGAAAACAGCAGCUCAGCCACAACUUCCAUCCCCUCCAAGCUUGUUUUCAGAUAAUUAAUCCUCUGUGUGUAUAUUUUUAUCCGUCCUCUCCUCCUACAGGGACGCUGAAGUGCUUUCUCUCUCUCUCUAUCUCUCUGCACCCCCCCCACGCACACACCAGGAGUCGACUCUCACAGAGCUGCAGCUCCACAUACAUCAAUGAGAGGAGGUCAGGUGUGCUGCACCUGGAGCUCGCAGUCAGGUGAGCUGUUAAGCCUCGCUGAGUACCCUGCAGCUGCCCCCCAGAUUUCACAGGGGAGUCUCGUGCACAGACACGUGUGGAGAAGAAGUUAACAUACAGGAGUUUUCAACGCUGAGAGAAAAAACAGGUGCAAAUUUAAGGCGCUUCAUUUCUUUAUAAACCGCUGGUCUGUUACGAUAAACCCACAGACACGACACCAAAAACAGCUUCAUCAAAAUAAACAGUACCAAGUGAAGAGAGUUGAUGAAAUAUACAGUAUGUGAUUGUUUAUUACAACUAAUUCAUAUACACUAUUUUUUAUUUUUUGCAAUUUGAACAGCUGAUAUCAGCUACCACUCUCUACUAGUAAUGUAACCAUUGACUUCCAUUCAGAAUACAAUAUAUAGGUAGAUAUAUGAUAUACUUAAAUUACCUUAAACUAUCAUCUGUAUUUCUUAAUUAUAUAUUUUUAAAAACCUACCUCGUCACUGUUGACCAUUUGUCCCUCUUAAUAACAACUGUGUGUUAUUUAAAAAAAAAAAUACAAUCCAGUUAAUUUUACUUAUGGCAGUUUAACAUUUAAAACUCAUUUCUUCAGUCAGUACUUGAAUUCUUUACACAUAAAUAACUUCAUACUAGUUGAAAUAUAAAUUCAAUCUUGUGUCACAUACUUAAAAUUAAUAUACUUCUGUUGUUGACUUCCAUCUAAAUGGUAACAAUUUAAUUUAACAGUCAAAAAUUUACAAUAUGUCCCACAACAUUAAAUACUUCACUACUCAAGUCACAGUAUCUUUGACGACAAUUAACUUAAACCAUUGACUUCCAUCUAAACUUAAAAUCAAAUAUCUGUAACUUCCUUUUGACUUGUCAUACUUCCAAAUGUUAACAUUUAAUUUUUAUCAGUUGAAACAUAUAUUGAGUUAACUACUUUUACCAUUUACCUCCAUUUAUACUCAUGUGUUAAUCUGUCACCAUAAUCAGAAGUGGCGUAAUUCCUAAUUCUAUUUGAAUUUCAAUACAUUUAGUGUUUUAUGUCCAGUUUGACCGAUCUAUAAUCUUACAUUGAACUCAAAAAUCCAACUCCUACAAGUCAGAAUUUUUAUAGUGCAGUCUUAGUGAUUUUAUGACAUUUAGUCAAUUUUUACCAUUGGCUUCUAUUCAAACGUAAUAACAAAAAUAUGAACUUCAACUUUUUACGGUUCAGAUUUAUAGUCAACAUAGAACACUUGGUAAUUUAUAUUUUGAUGUUGCAGUGUUUUUUUAAUGACAUUUGGUAAGUCAUAACCAUUGACUUCCACUCACUCUAAAUAAUUCAAAAACAGUUUUUGGAUGUAAUGAUUCCAGUUUAACAUAUUUUCUUUGACUUUUCCAAAAUCCAAACUUUUCAGUCAUUUAAACUAUAAGCAAAUAAAAUAUCUAACAUUGACUUUCAUCAAUAUUAUCAGAUACCAAUCACCGUUUUAAGUGCUAUGACUUUGAGUUGAUAUUUCAUAAACUUUCUACAACUUGCAGCAAUUUUACAAAACCAUACCAUUCAUUUCACUGAAUACAAUGCAGGUAUUAAACAAACACUGACAUUGUUCACAGCAGGUAUCGCUUGUUUUAAGGUAAUUCAAUAUCUGUAUAUUUCUUUAACCACCUCAGCUCCCAGAGGCUCCUUAAAUCACAGUUAACAGGUUCAUGACAGCUUUAAGUAUCAUUUAACUGUUCUGCUUUGAUGCAUUACUGACAAAUGACCACUAGAUGGCGCCAUUUAAGCACACUAUGAAUUGUGGCUGCUUCCCAAGUCUGCAGGAGAGGGACAAGGGGGGGAUAAUUUCAAUUCGAAAUGGCUCAUGAAACUUGAAUCACACAUUAGUGGUGUCAAGCUGUCGGUCCUCACUUUCACUGGUGCGUGCCAGCGUACACACACACACACACUCCUGCUCGUCUGUGUGUGUUUUCGGACUAUUUUAGCCCUUUACUACUGUCGCAUUCCUGGCAUGUAUUUUUGACGGCACGCCGUCACCAGAGAGGACUUGAAGGCUUUUCCAGGUCCUUCCAGGAACUGUUGUUCCCACAGCUGCUGCUUUCGAUUUAUUUAUUUGUCUAUUUAGCAUCAACAGGAAACACCCGAUGUAUCACACUCAAGUAUGACUGACUCCUCAUUUCCUCUGUAAGUUAGUGUUGCAGCCAUUAAAUUUCUGUUGUAGUUAUUGCAUGGAUCACAGAUUGAAUGGCCAAGAAAACAGCUUAAAAGCUACUAAACACUCAAUUCUAGCUCUGGGCAGCAUACUGUCAUGUUCAGAGGUAUGAAAAUUUGGAAUAUUCUUUUUGCCAUGACAAGGUUAACCAGUAAACGUGUUUAAAAAGAAGAUAUACCAAUAUCUAAUUACCCAGACACACUGAAAUAAGGUACGAGUACAUUGAACUUGGCCUUUAUUGGUGUUUAUUGAAAUUGGAAAUGUAGUGUCAUCAUAAUUCUUGUUUUAGUUUUGAUUUUAACAUUUUGUAUAAUUCUCCUGUUUGGACUCUUAUCAUUUUAAUGUAUACGAAUGUUUAUAGUCUUGUUGUGGAGGAAGAGUAGCUGCUACCUAGGUAGUAGCUCAUGGGGAUAAAAAACAACAACAAAACGCACCACUAAAGGAGAAAGAAAUAAUGUUCUAUGAGAGGAGAAGUCAGCUUUAAAACUGUGAGUUUAAAAAAUUUAAUCUGUAUAUAUAAAUGAUAACUUUAUCAAUUUUUUGUGUGCUUAAAAAAGCUUUUUUAACUCCUUAAUAUGUGCUGCGAAGAAAUACCAAAACCUCUACAAAAUAAAAUACCUGCUUAAAGAGGAUUAACCCUUUAAUGCCUUUUGUAUCAUAUUUGAUACGUACUUUUAUAUACUUCUAUCAAAUCAAUAUGAUCAACAAAUUACUAAAAAAAUACAAGAAUAUUGUCUGAUAAAUGAUAAAAAUGUCCUCUUGUAGUUUGUUAGUUUCCAAAAACAUCUAAUGUAUCAAAUAAGAUAAAUAAAUAUAUUUGUUAAAAUUUUAAGGACAUUUUGAUUUUUUUUCAUUUUUUGGUAGUAAGUGAAAUUAACAUUUCAGCUCCAAAAACAAUUAAAUUUUCUGACCAUAAUUUAUAGUGUCAGGCAUUAAAGAGGACAAACAUAAAAUUUAAUGUUGAGCAGUAAAUUUUAUUGUUGCAAGACUUAAUGUGCUUAACAAGCCUUAAUCAUGCAACUACCAAACAAUAGGACACUUUGCAGUCAUGCUAUUAAGAGCAAAUUAGCUGCAUUAGAGCUGCAAAGUGCAUAUAAAUCAUAGAAGCACAUAGAGGAGGGUGGGGUAAGUUGAAGGUUAGACACUUAUUUAAUUAAAAAAAAAAAAAACAUUUUUCACUCUCAAAAGUGAAUUUAGUCUGUCAUAAGUUUAAGCUUAGAGGACUAAUAAAGUCAUAAUAGAAGUUCUGGGGUAACUGAGAAAGUAAAGGAGUCUGAUGAGAGGAUCAGAGUUUCAGUUCAGAUUGUUGAAAUGUUUUAUUUUUUCCUUUCAAAAAUACAGGUCUGUGAAUGUUCUGAAUCACUUAAAGACAUUCUCAUGUUAAAAUGACUUUUUACAAAACAGCUUUUCAGCAGUUAUAUGCAAUAAUUAUAAAAAAGAAUGAUUGUACCAGUUGAAUAGUGUAUAGGGAGAGGUAGUAGGGUAGUAGGGAUUUGGAUCAACUUACCCCAUACACAGGGUAAGUUGAUCAUAGGAGACCACUUUUUUUGGCAUGCUAUAUUAUCAAGACAGUUCUGUUUACAAUCAUUCUGUUGGUUUGCAGGGAUGAACAUCUUGAAAUAUAUGCAGAUACACGAGUUAGAGACAAAACUAUGAUUGACUUGAUGAUCCGAAAUAUAUAUCUUACCCCACUCUCCCCUAUGUCAUAAAACAUGUCAAAGUGUUGUCAUAAGAUCAGAACAGUUAUUUAUGGUUAGGAAGCACUUAAACAUGGUUAAAACCCUUAAGACAACAAUCAUGCGCACAAACAUUUUCUAUAAUAUCCUUACGUUAUGACAAUUGUAGGUGCAUUUUUAUGUCUUAUUUUAUUUUUUUUUAACUUUAAAGUUUCAUUUUUAUAAUAAUUCUGUAUUAUUGGAUUUACAGAAACAACAACAACAACAGCCUGAUCUGUCCUCUGUGCCUCAGAAAUGAAACACUAAUCCUCACUAUAAUAACUCCCCCUCAGACUCCCUCCAUUGUGUUCCC